rnacentral:lncRNA from 1 species
GGCACACCAGGGAGGGGGGAGGCCCCCCACCUCUCCCAGAGCUGUCUGAGCCUAGAUAAGGUCUGAGCCUUUCUUCCCUUCCUGGGAUUCAGUGAGCAAUCCUUUGCCUGCUGACCUAAGCAGGAACCAAGGGUCCACCUGCACUGGCCCGGGAGAUGGCACCUGCCUUUCCUGAGCUGGGGAGGGUGUAGGGGCUGCAGGUGCCAGCCAGGACGGUGAAAGAUGAGACAGGUCUCCACGGCAGCUCAGCCCUGCAGGUGGGGCUUCAGUGGAUCGAAUCCCUUCCUCAGUGGGCUGCAGAUCAGAGGGGAGGUUUGGAGAGCAGGGUGGGAGCCCCAGUCGAGGGACCUGUGGAGGAGGUGGCAGUUAGAGGGAAGUGUGGAUAAAGCUGUGAGCUCUCGGGGUGAGGAAAGGCCUGGACUGCAGGGUGCAUUGCAAGCAGGGUGGAGGCCUCGUGAGGACCAGCCCGGGAACCCAAAAGGCCGUGCAGAUGUGGCCACUGGUGGAGAGCCC